UUAUAUACACAUUUACUCAAUAUACUAAUAACAUUUUAUUAUUUGCAGCUAAUAGAAACUCCAAAACCUCAGACAAAGAGGACUAGAAUUUUACAUAAAAAGCCGCGUUCUGCAGUACAAAAGUUAGAAGAGGCUCAAACAGAAGCGACUCGCCGAAGCUCACGAAAGGGCUAGACAGAAGCAUCUUCUAAGGCUCAAAUUGUUACAGCAGCAAUUAAAUAAAUAAUUAUAUACUUAUAAAAAAAAUAAAACCCCCGUUUUAAAUGAAA